GCGCAGGCGCACUAGUGUCGAGGGCCGCUUCCAACGCAGGUCGGGGCUCAGCUGUGGUCGCCGCCGCCCCGGGCACCGGGAGGCUGCACCAGCUGCUCCUAGGACGCGUCCUACCCCUGGGCGGGGGCCACCCUGAGGAAGGUCGUUAAAAAGUUCAUUGUGACGCCCUUCUGAAAAAUACAGCAGCACAGCCGUAGCAACAAUGUCCCUUUGGACCACAGGAAUUGGUCGAGUGAUGGAGUCAUGAGGACGGAUUUCCUUGAGACCAGCUGGCUGGCUGCCCAGGUGGGCUUUCUCUGGAGUGUCGUCAUCCCAGAAUUGCUGCCCUAAAGCAGGGUCCAGUUUAUUUCCUGCAGCUAAUGUGUCCAUAGACCUACUUGCCAUCCACGGCUCACCUGUGCCCGGAGGAGCUGGUCCUGCUUGCCCAACGACUCUGGACCAGCCCUGGUAUGGCAACCCAGAAGACUUCUGCACCAUCCAAUAAGCUGCAAGCAUACCUUUGGUGAGAUCUGAACCUCAGCCUUGGGGAAUGUCAUCUUCCCUUGGUCCAAGAAUUGAAAUCAGUUUGGCUGUGUUGAGUAAGACACAGGAAGAAGGCAGAAGCCAGGUGGCACAAUAGCACGUCUUGUCUGCAGGAGCUUCAGUUCACUUUCCCACUGGGCUCUGCUUCUCUGCCUCCUCUGCCACCAUCUCAGUCCAGGAGGGGAAUGGCCUCUGCCCUGGGGUCCUGCUUCUACUCCUGACCCUUUCCCAGCCCUUUGCCACUUAACUUCCGGAACCUCUCCCCUGCUGAAGGUAAUAUCUGAAUGUUUCACUACACUCCCUGCCUGCUUCCUCCCCCAUCUUCUGUGCUUCACACUGACCACUACACACAGCCUCACGAGCCCUCCUCCUGCUCUUUAAGAAGGUCAAGGUCAGUUCUGACUUUGGAGUGUUGACCUAGUUGUCCUGCCUGCCUGGAAUGCACUUCCUUCUAAUGGCUCCUCAACCCCUGAGCUGUGAUUUCUUGCCAUUCUGUGGGCUGCUCAGAGGGGCUUUCUCUUGCCUUUUCAUUGCA